rnacentral:rRNA from 1 species
CGCCUGUUUAACAAAAACAUGUCUUUUUGUUUAUAAUUUAAAGUCUAAUCUGCCCAUUGAUAAUAAAAUUAAAAGGCCGCGGUAUUUUGACCGUGCAAAGGUAGCAUAAUCAAUAGUUUCUUAAUUAGAAGCUUGAAUGAAUGAUUGAAUGAAAUAUAGACUGUCUUUAUAUAGUUGUUAUAGAAAUUAAUUUUUAAGUUAAAAAGCUUAAAUUAAGUUAAAGGACGAGAAGACCCUUUAAAGCUUUAUAUAAAAGUUAUAGGUAAUGUUUAAUAAUAUUUAAAUUACAUAUAAUUAUAUAUUUUAUUGGGGCGAUAGGAAAAUUUAUGAAACUUUUUUUUUUAAAAAAAAACAAUUAUUAUUGAGUAAUUGAUCCAUAAUUUGCGAUUAUAAGAUUAAGUUACUUAAGGGAUAACAGCGUAAUAUUUUUUGAGAGAACUAAUCGACAAAAAAGAUUGCGACCUCGAUGUUGGAUUAAGAUAAUUUUUAGGUGCAGAAGUUUAAAAAUUUGGUCUGUUCGACCAUUUAUUCUUACAUGAUCUGAGUUCAAACCGGAG